AUUUCUUGGGCAAUCCAGGAUUGUGUGGUUCAAUUGUACAGCAUUCUUGUUCUGAUCAACCACAAAUUACCAAUCCUAUUCCUGAAGAAUCCUCAGAAAACACAGUUGUUUUUGGACUCAUUGCUGGACUAGCUUUUGGAUUUGUUGUUGGAUCUACCACUGGGUUACUUUACCCCAUCCACAGGCUAAAGUUCCUGCAGAAGUUAAUUGGGUUCCUUCAUCCAAAUGAACACAGAAAGUCAUCCAUAUCACCUUUGUAUGCCUCUUCAUAAAGCUGAAUUCCAUUUAUACAUA
rnacentral:misc_RNA from 1 species